GAUGAACGCUAGCUACAGGCUUAACACAUGCAAGUCGAGGGGUAACGAGAGGGAAGCUUGCUUUCCUUGUCGACGACCGGCGCACGGGUGAGUAACGCGUAUCCAACCUGCCCCCAACUAGGGAAUAACCUUGCGAAAGUAAGACUAAUACCCUAUAAUUUCCUCAGAUGUCAUCUGACGAGGAAUAAAGAUUUAUCGGUUGUGGAUGGGGAUGCGUGCUGAUUAGCUUGUUGGCGGGGUAACGGCCCACCAAGGCAACGAUCAGUAGGGGUUCUGAGAGGAAGGUCCCCCACAUUGGAACUGAGACACGGUCCAAACUCAUACGGGAGGCAGCAGUGAGGAAUAUUGGUCAAUGGGCGGAAGCCUGAACCAGCCAAGUAGCGUGCAGGAUGACGGCCCUAUGGGUUGUAAACUGCUUUUAUACAGGAAUAAAGUUAGCCACGUGUGGUUAUUUGUAGGUACUGUAUGAAUAAGGACCGGCUAAUUCCGUGCCAGCCGCCGCAGUAA
rnacentral:rRNA from 1 species